AUAGCGCCGACGCGAGCUCUUCCCCGACAACGACAACGACUGCGACGGCGACGGCGACGGCGGAUGGCGCCGACGACUUCGGACGAUGUCUUGCGGUGGUGAUUUUCCCAGAAAUCUCAGCGCGAUUUUGGUGUUUAGGUGAAGAUACAAAUUUUCCCAGAAAUUGAGUUUUUUUAAUAUGAGUUUUCCAGAAAUUUUCCAUAUAUAAAUAUUGAGCUUUUUUAA